GCCAGGUGAGGGAGGAUUCCAGAUCACACGGUGGACUGUGUCAUUCCCGCGUGCAUUUUCUCCCACACGCACAGUGGAGGGAAGCGGAAGGAAUAUUCGAGUGUCCGUGAGCAACCACAAGGACACUUGGGUUUAUGGUCUCAUAAAUAGGAGAAAGAAACAGGUCAUAGUCUGUCUGGAUCCUUCCCUAAGCAGAGGGGACCAGGAAGCACCCACCCUGGCUAAAGGCUGCCGCUCGGGGUGCAAAUGGCUUUGCAGUGGCCCUUUUCUCUUGCCCUCACAGGUGGCGAAGGCAGUAGAGCGGGCUUCAUGUCUACCCCACCCCUGAACUCUGGUCCCGGAGCUGCCGGUGAGGCCCAGGACAGUGCUGAGAGCCGAACGUCCUGGGAACAGAGAGGCUACCCUUGUCCCAAAGUACUAAAAAUGGAACUUGAGUCGUAUGUGGAUGGGUGGAAAAGAGUCACAGGCUGGUGGGGAAGGUGAAAAUAUCCCAGGCCACCUUGUCAUCAUAACAUCUCUGUGUUGGGUUUUCUCUCUAACAGGAUGGUGAACUCUUCAAAGACGUUCCUCUGUCUACCCAUUCACCUGUCCCUUACUCCUGAAAGAGCCUCCGAAAAUACCCUGUGAUACUUUAGAUCAGUGUUUCUCAGAAAGUCAUGGUCCUCCAACGACAUCCUCUGACAUCGGAUACAAAUACGGCAUCCUGGGACUUGCCCGUAACUGUGAGAUCACAAUCUGUACAAGAAGGUCUGGAAGCUGAAUGUUCUAGAAGCUUCACGGAUGACACGUUUGGACACACGUGCUUGUGAACCUGCUGAGCUAGUGCAGAGGGUCCGCCUGUCUCCAUAUGGUCAGAGUUAGGUGAAAUGGACCCCAUCCAAAGGUUCCUGAAAAUUGUGAAAGGUUUGCUGUUUCCUUAGAACUUUUAUUCAGCUUCAAAAAAGAAUCACAGCUGCAUAAAGUUAGAUUCUGAAGACAGACUGCUUGAGUUUUAAAUCUCAGCUCUGCCGCUUACUCCCUGUAAGACCUUGGACAAGUUACUAGCCUCUAUAUGCCUUGAUCUCCCCAUCUGUAACGAUGCAAAUAUUAUUCUCUCCUUUUACAGAAGAAUAAGCUGAAGAGAGGCACCAUGGAGAGACAGCACACAGUCUUCUAGCAAGGGAAAGGCUUUUGAAUAAGAAGGAAAUGUUCUCCGAAGUGGGAGUGCGUGCUGUGUUUCAGAAAUUACUCAAACAUACGUGGAGAAAACAGUUUACAGAACGAACGUGAGCCAGAGUGAAAUCCAGACGUCCCUUCUUCCAGCCCCACCGAUUCUCUCCCAUCGAAGGAAUGUGCUAACCUUUUGAAAAGUGCUUUCGUUUAAAAAAGUAAUGGUCAGAACCCUGCUCAGUCCUUCAGUAACCAUAUUUUACCUCACAGUUGACAUUUAUAUGCCAGCGACUCAUUUGUUACAAAUUCUAAUUGCGAGCAACAAUCCAAAAAAGACAAUGCAAAAGGCAAAAAGAGAAAAGGCUCAGAAACCCUUUGAGAUCCCAUCUAAUUAAAAAUGCAAAUUAAGAAAGAAACCUCAAGUCAUAAGUCCUGUUCCAUCUUUUCAAAGGCACCAAUUACCAGUGAGUCAUUGUGAAAGGGACUGCCUUUAAUUUUAAGUCAAAUUUCUCAACAAUAUCCCAUUGGCAGGAAAUUAAAGCCACUGCCAGCUUAGUGGUACAAUUAACACUUUGACCUUUGUUAUCCAAACUUUAUUCAUUCUUGUUCUGUUUCUCUAAGCAAUCACUAAU